UGGGGAAUUGUUCGCAAUGGGCGCAAGCCUGACGACGCAAUGCCGCGUGGAGGAUGAAGGUCUUCGGAUUGUAAACUCCUGUUGCCCGGGACGAAAAGCUCCGACCUAGUACGUUGGAGUCUGACGGUACCGGGUGAGGAAGCCCCGGCUAACUCUGUGCCAGCAGCCGCGGUAAUACAGAGGGGGCAAGCGUUGUUCGGAAUUACUGGGCGUAAAGGGCGCGUAGGCGGCCUUCUAAGUCGAACGUGAAAUCCCUGGGCUCAACCCAGGAACUGCGUCCGAUACUGGGAGGCUUGAAUCCGGGAGAGGGAUGCGGAAUUCCAGGUGUAGCGGUGAAAUGCGUAGAUAUCUGGAGGAACACCGGUGGCGAAGGCGGCAUCCUGGACCGGCAUUGACGCUGAGGCGCGAAAGCCAGGGGAGCAAACGG
rnacentral:rRNA from 1 species